AUGCCAGCAGGGAUGACAGCAUAAAUGUCCCCUUCUCUCUUGUGUCAUUAGAACGAGAUGCAGCUGCCAGCUCAGGUGCCUGAUCCCAGAGCAGGACUGAAACAAAGGAGAAGCCCAGACGAGUUCUUGUUUUCCUUCUAAAUAACUUGGUUUUGGUCUGCUUGUAAGCAAGCUGGGAUUUUGUCAGCUGUCCCAAGUACCCUCUGAAGGAUUCUUUGUCUGCAGAACUGCUGGGCGCCUGUCAUGCCGGUGGAGACAGAGGUUGUGUGGAAAAUACAAAGAUAGGUCUUGCAGAAGCCUGCACAGUUACUGGAGGCAGUGAUGGAGAAGUUGGUCUCUCGUCAGUUGUUUCCAGUAGAUGCUGCAACCAUGAUCAGCAUACCCUGUGGGGAACAGGGAAGUAUCUGCUUUGCUCAUUUGCUCUGCUUUGGGUUUUCAUGGGGUUCUUUUUUUUUUUUUUUUCAUUUCAUGGCAAACUUUCCUCUAGCCAGUCGCUUCUUAGGUUCCUUGUCAUAGACACCCAUCUUGGUCAACCUGUUUGUGUCUGUUGUCAGCACAUGUUGCAGGUCUCUGGUUUUGGUGUUGUUUCUCACUGUCUUUAAUUUCCACUCUGUGUGAGAUUGUCUCUCAAGUGGAGGUAGGCAAUUGCAGUGAUUCUCAGUUAUGAUGAAUAUUGCUGAGCAAAGUAGAAAUAUGCAUGCAGAAAGCACUUGCAGCAGCAAAUGAAUAUAAUAUAUUGUAUCAUAUACAUUUCAAGGUGAGCAUAAAAAGAGGGGGUUUGCACAUGCUCUUUUUCUUUUUACUACUUUACUGUACCAUGUAUUCUCUCAAGCUGCUAAAGACCUACUAAAAGGGUACAAAAUGAAGCCAUUAGCAGAAACUUGUUUAAGAGCUCCGCACACAUAUGUGCUCUUCAGGUAGCUGGCUGGGCAGUGCUGUGAGGCUCUUACUUGGAGGCUGGAGCAAUAAAUGUCAUGUCAGGGGCCAACUGUCUGUAAUCACAGUUAGCAGGUUGAACAGACUUGUGAAAAUAUUUUCUUUAUGUGAAGGGAGACGCUGCACACUUUGCCACAGCAGAAGUUGCUAAACCUAAUGUAAUAUGACAAGUCCUUUGGCAGCAAAAGCCACAUUUAAAUAGACAUGCUGCCUGUGAAAUGGGAAAGAAACAAAAGCAGUUUUUGUGCAGAAAUGUCACCUCCUCUAUUUUGCAGUAUGUCUCACCUUGUCCUGCUACCACUCCCUUUUUAUUUCUGGCUGACAUUGGCCAUGCAUCAUGGUCUCCUUCCACAUCACCCCAGCCAUCUCCUCCUCCAGGUGCCCCAGGGCCUGGCCUGUCCCAUCCACAGCCCAGCUAGCAAUGCCACCCUGUGUUUAGAAAUCCAGCUCAUGAGGGCUGUCCUGCUCUGCUGGGAGGAACCCUGGCCAUGGAGGGAGGUCUGGCACAUCCCAGCAUCUCCUCAGGGCUGCAGCAGAAAGGAACCCCUGUCACCCCACAAAGCACAAUCAGCAGGGAGCAUGUCCCACACGCCACUGUCGGUGACAGACUCACAUGGCAAAGGGUCUGCAGCACCUUGUGCAGCUGGUGGUGAGGUUCAAGAAGCUUUAGGGCACUGCUGUGAGGCAGUCAGGAGUCUGUCUGUCUGUCCUCUUGCUUGGCCAGUGGCAUCAAGCUAAAGGUGAAGCGAUG